UUUUCAAAGUGAGUUCAGCAUCCUGGAAUUGGGUGGUGAGGAAAACAGAAGGGAGGAGAGAAAGAGAAAGUGAAAAGGAAGUUAAUUAAACAAUUAAUCCAAUGAGGCCAGCAUGGUAAUGAGCUCCAGAUGUUUGGGAUUCCACGGACAGUCUCUGAGCUGGAGAAGCAAUGGUGGGUUUAUAUACAUUUGUUUACUUCUCCUGAGACUGACUAUUGCUUUCUCUAAAAGCCAAUGAAGAACAGGCCCACCCUAAAAUACCUCUGGGACUUCACUCCAAAUUUUGCUCUGACUUUGUAGCCCACGAAGGCAGUGGCAAUAACUCAGAUGGUUGUGUUUGUUUCUCAAGAGAUGAUGAUUUUCUCAGGCAGAUAAAGAAGAAACAAAAAAACAAGCUUAGAACAAUGCAUUUUUUUUUCUCAUUUUUGGAUUAACCUUUGCAAAACUUUUGGUGGAAUGAUGCAGAAAUCCUCUUCUCAGCAAGUUUGAAGACCAGAAGAGUCCUCAGGACAACAGGAUGUGUCUGGCUUUGGCUAUGGGAUGACCAGAGUUCUUGCUUUUAUGGUGUCAGGAUUUUAAUUGCUGUGUCUGGAAGGUGGUGCUUGGAGCUUGGAGGCAGCAGAUAGCAGGAAAGCCUUGAUGGCUCCCCAAAUCUCUGCCAAGGUCCUCAAAUCAGUCCUGCCAGAAGGAAUCUUCACCCCUCAUGCCCCAUUUCCUGCAGCAGGGAUCUGGAAGGUGGCAAUGGGAAAGGACAGAAAUCAGAGGGGACAGGACUCUUACAAAAAAAACCAAGUUUGCUCUCAACUCUCUCAUCUAUCAAGCCUUCCUCUUCUCCCUCAUCCCUCCUACAUUUCCUUCUCAUCCCAAAUCCUCAGCUUCUCUGAGCUGUCAGGCCUGCAGA